AUGCAAUGUGAAGCUGAAAAUCUGUUUCUCUUCAGAGAUUGUGAUCCAAAAGCUCCCUGAAUCAAGCAGAAAAUCUCAAUUGACUCUACACAUUUUUAUACUUGUUCAAAGUAGGUUAUCUUCUUGGACAUAGAGUAUUCUGUCACAGUCACGGACACCGUUUAAAAGCUUAAAGUGAAAAACAGAAGCCUGGAUUAAGGAAAAAUCAACUUAAACUUGGAAUUGUGGAAUGUCUUGGGGUGAUUUGCUGGAAUCAGAAGUAAACAAUGGGUGCAAAAGGAAACAAGCAGAGACUCCAACUGUUUUGGUUAAUCUUUCUCCUGUGUUAGCUGUCAUGGCAUCGGCACUAGUUUAAAAACUGUUGAUAGGAAGAGGAGGGAACCAAAGCAGAGGAGAGA